GCCACUGUGGCUCAGUUGGUCGGAGUGUCAUCCUGUACACCAAAGGGUUGCGGGUUCAAUUCCCGUCAGGGCA
rnacentral:tRNA from 1 species